UGGGGGAUAUUGCACAAUGGGCGAAAGCCUGAUGCAGCGACGCCGCGUGGGGGAUGAAGGCUUUCGGGUUGUAAACCUCUUUCGCUAUCGAACAAGGCCCGCUUAGGGUGGGUUGAGGGUAGGUGGAGAAGAAGCGCCGGCUAACUACGUGCCAGCAGCCGCGGUAAUACGUAGGGCGCGAGCGUUGUCCGGAAUUAUUGGGCGUAAAGGGCUUGUAGGCGGCUUGUUGCGCCUGCUGUGAAAACGCGGGGCUUAACUUCGCGCGUGCAGUGGGUACGGGCAGGCUUGAGUGUGGUAGGGGUGACUGGAAUUACAGGUGUAGCGGUAGAAUGCGCAGAUAUCUGGAGGAACACCGAUGACGAAGACAGGUCACUGGGCCAUUACUGACGCUGAGGAGCGAAAGCAUGGGUAGCGAACAGG
rnacentral:rRNA from 1 species